rnacentral:lncRNA from 1 species
AAAUCUCAAAUAAAUCUCAAAUCAAUUAAUAAAUUGAUGAGAAUAUUUUUCAUCGGUCUAUCAUCAUUCAAAGAGGUUGAUAAAAUAUUUUUGUAUUUUUUUGAUCUCAAAAACUAUUUAAAAUGAAUUAAAAAUAACCAGAAAAGAAAAAAUUCAUGAAAAAUAUCAAAUGAUAAAAUAAAUAAUAUUAAAAACUAUUUUUAGAAACUAGAAAUUAAAAGAGAAAUAAUGCAAUUGGUCCCAUAAUUUUUGGACCAAUAAUGAAAGAGAUAUGAAUUUUAGAAUUAAAAUGGAAUUAAAAGAAAUAAAAGAAAAUAGAAAUCAGAAAUUAAAAAUAAGAAAAAAAGAGAGGCGUUG